AAACGGGUCUGAUGAUUAAAGAUGGCUGCACCUAGAAGGCCCUGGCUAACACCGGCGGUCAAGCCUCUCAUGAAGAGUUGUUAUACGGUUGCUACUAUGGGCCCUGAAGAGUGUUUGAGACGGGUCAUGGGAGCAGGGAAACAGGGAUCACUAAUGAUACCUGUACCCGCAAGAACGAUGCGAUGGAGAAACACGAGGCCAGAUCGCUGGGCCAAGAUUUGUUUGAGACUCCAGACCCCAGCCAGGAGAACCCAAAUGAAUCAAACAAAGGGCUGUACGGAGAUGAGGCACAGCAGCUGAACGAUGGUUCUUCUGAGGACUUGGAGGUUCUGGACACCAACAGCUCCAAAGGGCCGAGCGGAUUGGGCCCGAUCUGUUUUUGCCCAGACCCAAAACCAGAUGCUCAAAGGACUGCCGAAACCUAGGGGAAUGCUUAUUCUAUAGGCCUGUACUAUCUAAAGUUAAGGGAGAAAUUCGGUAUUAAGCCCGUGCGAGUUCAUAACCCCGACACUGUCUGCAAAGUGUGUUAAAUAUCAUCAUCACGCUGGGAUACGCGCUGCAGUGCCUCUGUUUAGCCCAGGAACAUUUAGUGCUCGGGGCAGAGCUGAUGGUCAAAGAGACAGAAGCCGAGGACCCAACUAGCAUUUUGGAUGAAAUCAUCAAACCGACAGAUAAAUGUUUAAUGCGAAAUGUUGAACAACUUCUUCGUUCAGCGAAUUACAAAAUCUUGCUAAGACAAAACACUAACAGUUAGCGUGUGUUUUGGGAACAAAACAGGGUGUGUUGUAAAAUAAAAUGUCAGUUGAAAA